AUGGCCGCAAUGGCGAGCGAAGAGAGGCUCUGGAGGCGAAUGAAGGGCUCGGGGAGGCUUCUGGGAGGAUGCGGAGGAGCUUGGAGUGCUCGGGAGGCGAGGGGAGUGGCUAUUUACAGCCGGGUCGAGGCAGUUGAGCUUGGGUGUCGCCGCGGGGAUCCGGCCAAUGCUCUGCCGGCCACAGAAGUCACGGGGAGGCACGGGAACAUUACGAGGGGGAAGUGGACGAGCUGCAGACGGUCACGCAGACGAGAAACGCUCGGGGACACGAGGAGGAAGAGGACACGGCUGAGGAAGACGACGCGUUCAUGGCCACGCACUGCUCGGCGAGGGUGA
rnacentral:rRNA from 1 species